CUGUUUUCGAGUCUAGCCAAA
rnacentral:siRNA from 1 species